rnacentral:rRNA from 1 species
UGGGGAAUCUUGCACAAUGGGCGAAAGCCUGAUGCAGCAACGCCGCGUGCGGGAAGACAGCCCUAGGGUUGUAAACCGCUUUCAGCAGGGAAGAAACUGACGGUACCUGCAGAAGAAGAUGCGGCCAACUACGUGCCAGCAGCCGCGGUGACACGUAGGCAUCAAGCGUUAUCCGGAUUUAUUGGGCGUAAAGAGCUCGUAGGCGGUCCGUUGCGUCUGCCGUGAAAACCCGGAGCUCAACUCCGGGCCUGCGGUGGAUACGGGCGGACUAGAGUCCGGUAGGGGAGACUGGAAUUCCUGGUGUAGCGGUGGAAUGCGCAGAUAUCAGGAGGAACACCGGUGGCGAAGGCGGGUCUCUGGGCCGGAACUGACGCUGAGGAGCGAAAAGCGUGGGGAGCGAACAGGAUUAGAUACCCUGGUAGUCCACGCCGUAAACGGUGGGCGCUAGGUGUGGGGAUCGUUUCCACGAUCUCCGUGGCCGUAGCUAACGCAUUAAGCGCCCCGCCUGGGAGUACGGCCGCAAGGCU